GACGGGGACCCGCACAAGCAGCGGAGCAUGUGGUUUAAUUCGAAGCAACGCGAAGAACCUUACCAGGUCUUGACAUCCCUCUGAAACCCCUGAUAACGAAGGGGCCCUCUUCGGAGCAGAGGAGACAGGUGGUGCAUGGUUGUCGUCAGCUCGUGUCGUGAGAUGUUGGGUUAAGUCCCGCAACGAGCGCAACCCUUGCCGAUAGUUGCCAUCAUUAAGUUGGGCACUCUAUCGGGACUGCCGGGGACAACUCGGAGGAAGGUGGGGAUGACGUCAAAUCAUCAUGCCCCUUAUGAUCUGGGCUACACACGUGCUACAAUGGUCGGUACAAAAAGCAGCGAUCCCGUGAGGAGGAGCAAAUCUCAAAAAACCGAUCCCAGUUCGGACUGUAGGCUGCAACUCGCCUACACGAAGUCGGAGUUGCUAGUAAUCGUGGAUCAGAAUGCCACGGUGAAUGCGUUCCCGGGUCUUGUACACACCGCCCGUCACACCACGGAAGUUGGGGGUGCCCGAAGUUGGCAAGCAAAUAUGUUACCUAAGGCAAAACCGAUGACUGGGGUGAAGACGUAACAAGGUAG
rnacentral:rRNA from 1 species